rnacentral:rRNA from 1 species
CCCUUAGAUGUUCUGGGCCGCACGCGUGCUACACUGAGUAAUUCAAUGGGUAAGGGAACGCUAGAGCAUUACCUAAUCUUGAAAUUUGCUCGUGAUGGGGAUCGACGGUUGCAAUUUUCCGUCGUGAACGAGGAAUACCUUGUAGGCGCAUGUCAUCAUCAUGCGCCGAAUACGUCCCUGCCCUUUGUACACACCGCCCGUCGCUCCUACCGAUUGAGUGAUCCGGUGAGGCUCUGGGACCUGGACGGAGAGAGCGUUUCGCUUGUUCUGUUUGGGAAACUUGGUCGAACCUUAUCAUUUAGAGGAAGGAGAAGUCGUAACA